UAUUUAUUUCAUGAAUUUUGCAAAUUUUUUUUUUUUUUAAAUUGCAUAGCGAUUGGUCAUUACCAUUAUGAUACGGCCAUUAUAGGUCUGUUUCCACAACCACAACCACAACCACGCAAGCGAGCGUGACUGCAGUUAGAGAUUUAAAUCCAUGGCCCUAAUUCUUGAGAUUCAAUUGGCUUAAACUCUUCCAUUGUAUCAAGUGGUACUAGAGCUGAAAAAGCAUGCAUUACUACAUGAACUUUUAGCUAGGAAACUAUGGUUAGCAAAGCUAGAGAUUGAGGAAGAGGCAGCUAGGCCCAACAAAUGGAGUUGGCCAAGAUGUAAAGAAUGAUUGGGGACUUGACUCGAGCUGUGCAGGCCUUGCAAUGUCAGCAACCAAAGGAAGCCCAAAUGGAUAAUCUAAAAGGUGACCAUGACAUCCCUCAAGAUUCAAGAUCUUAAGGUUGAGGAUGAACUUGAGGACUUGAACCCUUUUCAUGAAGCUGGAUCCGCAGAUCAAAUGGAAAGAGGAUUUGAAGAGAAGUUACUGCUUGCCUUUCAUUUGAAUGGAGUCAAAGUUGAAGAAGUUGAUCUUCAUGGAAAGUUGCAGAAGUUGAUCUUCAUGGAAAGUUGCAUGCGGAUGAUUAUUUAGAUUGGAAUGCCACUGAAGAAUUACUUUGAAGGAAAGGCCAUGGCAGAAAAUCGAAGGUGCCAUUUGUAACACUUGACUUGAAAGUAUUCCACUUCAAUGGUGGUCUAGUUUAAGGGCAAGCUUAAAGUCAACACUUGGGAGCACAUGAAAACUAAGCUACAGAAGCAAUUUUUACCUAUUUAUUGUCUUAAGGAAUUGUCUGAGAAGUUCCAUUGUUUACAGCAAAAUAGCAACUCCACAGAAGAUACACUGUCAAGUUCAAUAACUUGUCAAUUCGGGUUGAAUUAUCUAAGAGUAACGAACAAAUUACAUCUCAUUAUCUUACCAUUUUGAAUUCCUCUAUUACAGACGAGAUGGGAGUUUCAUUACAUUUAGGAUGCUCACCAAUAUGCUUUAAUGGUGAGUUUCACGCUAUGGUGCUAGAAAGCUGUUAUAAGGCACCAAUUGGCAAAUCCAUUUUAGAGUAGGAUGUAGUUAUCAAGCGACUCUACGAAAUUAUCGAGGGGCUGCCACAACCAAUAAAAACAAUGAGCGUGCAACCAUAGCUAAAAGAAGAGAUAAAGGCAAGAGAAUAGCACCUAAGGGUGGACAAAGCAAUUUUGGCCUCGGAUUUGAUGGUUCACUUGUAGAGAGAAGGGAAAUACUUCUUUUGCUUGCCCAUAAUGAAGGGUAAACUUAUCAGAAUUAGAGGCUAAUUGCAAUAGAUGAGAUAUUGAGUUCCAAAUCGGUAAACUUAGACCUAUAGGCAGCAAUCUGUUACCUCCUGUGUCUGCCCCAAACUAGCAGCCCGAUUUUAUGGACUUUAUCUCAUCACAGCUAAAAUCAGGAUUGUAGCUUAUCAAUUGCAACAGCCUCAAAUGCCAAAGUCCACCUUGUUUUUCACCUCUCAGCUAAAGAAAGUGGUUGGUCACUGCCCAGUCCUGGCUUCUCUAUUCUUGAAGCUUGCUAUUGAUGAACCAAUUCCCACUCUUCCAGAAGCAGUGUUAGCCUAAUGCAAUAUUUACAAGGCUAGUAAUUCAGUUCCCCAACUCCUGAUUCAACCCUUAAUGAAGCAAAUUGGAUUGAUGUUGGUGAUAUUCAGGGGGUGUUUGGUUUACCUGUUAGGUGCAGCUGAUAACUGAUGGACACCAAAACAGGUAAAUUAUAGUGUUUGACAAGCUUAAAAAAAUAGAGCUGAUAGCUGAUGGGCAACUGAUAUGAUACCCAUCAGCUGCAGUUUGUAUCAGCUACACGUAUAAUGCUUCUUGCUCAUCUAUUGCAGAGAACACAAAGUGACAAGUCCAGAACUGGCAUAAAGUUUAAACCAAUUGGAAGACAACCUGAUAUUUGUUCAUUUCACAUUCCCAGAAUAAUUGAUAUUUAAUCCUUUUUGGAAUAACCUGAUCAAAUCUCUUCAAAUCUAAACAUAAGGAGAAUCAAUCAUGAUUAAGUUCAAAGAAUAUGGCUUUAAAUUAUAUAUUUAUAUAUAAAUAUCUA
rnacentral:misc_RNA from 1 species